rnacentral:rRNA from 1 species
GGAUUAGAUACCCUGGUAGUCCACGCCGUAAACGAUGUCGACUUGGAGGUUGUGCCCUUGAGGCGUGGCUUCCGGAGCUAACGCGUUAAGUCGACCGCCUGGGGAGUACGGCCGCAAGGUUAAAACUCAAAUGAAUUGACGGGGGCCCGCACAAGCGGUGGAGCAUGUGGUUUAAUUCGAUGCAACGCGAAGAACCUUACCUGGUCUUGACAUCCACGGAAGUUUUCAGAGAUGAGAAUGUGCCUUCGGGAACCGUGAGACAGGUGCUGCAUGGCUGUCGUCAGCUCGUGUUGUGAAAUGUUGGGUUAAGUCCCGCAACGAGCGCAACCCUUAUCCUUUGUUGCCAGCGGUCCGGCCGGGAACUCAAAGGAGACUGCCAGUGAUAAACUGGAGGAAGGUGGGGAUGACGUCAAGUCAUCAUGGCCCUUACGACCAGGGCUACACACGUGCUACAAUGGCGCAUACAAAGAGAAGCGACCUCGCGAGAGCAAGCGGACCUCAUAAAGUGCGUCGUAGUCCGGAUUGGAGUCUGCAACUCGACUCCAUGAAGUCGGAAUCGCUAGUAAUCGUGGAUCAGAAUGCCACGGUGAAUACGUUCCCGGGCCUUGUACACACCGCCCGUCACACCAUGGGAGUGGGUUGUACCAGAAGUAGAUAGCUUAACCUUCGGGGGGGCGUUUACCACGGUAUGAUUCAUGACUGGGGUGAAGUCGUAACAAGGUAACCGUAGGGGAACCUGCGGUUG